UACGGGGGGUGCGAGCGUUGUCCGGAAUCACUGGGCGUAAAGGGCGCGUAGGUGGUUUGAUAAGGGUGUGGUGAAAGUCCGGAGCUCAACUCCGGAUCUGCCGUGCCGACUGUCAAACUCGAGGGCUGUAGAGGCAGACGGAAUUCCGGGUGUAGCGGUGGAAUGCGUAGAGAUCCGGAGGAAUACCGGUGGCGAAGGCGGCAUCCUGGACCGACAUUGACGCUGAUGAGCGAAAGCUAGGGGAGCAAACGGG
rnacentral:rRNA from 1 species